rnacentral:rRNA from 1 species
AGAGUUUGAUCAUGGCUCAGAUUGAACGCUGGCGGCAGGCCUAACACAUGCAAGUCGAGCGGUAGCACAGAGAGCUUGCUCUCGGGUGACGAGCGGCGGACGGGUGAGUAAUGUCUGGGAAACUGCCUGAUGGAGGGGGAUAACUACUGGAAACGGUAGCUAAUACCGCAUAAUGUCGCAAGACCAAAGUGGGGGACCUUCGGGCCUCAUGCCAUCAGAUGUGCCCAGAUGGGAUUAGCUAGUAGGUGGGGUAACGGCUCACCUAGGCGACGAUCCCUAGCUGGUCUGAGAGGAUGACCAGCCACACUGGAACUGAGACACGGUCCAGACUCCUACGGGAGGCAGCAGUGGGGAAUAUUGCACAAUGGGCGCAAGCCUGAUGCAGCCAUGCCGCGUGUGUGAAGAAGGCCUUCGGGUUGUAAAGCACUUUCAGCGGGGAGGAAGGCGNCGAUUGACGUUACCCGCAGAAGAAGCACCGGCUAACUCCGUGCCAGCAGCCGCGGUAAUACGGAGGGUGCAAGCGUUAAUCGGAAUUACUGGGCGUAAAGCGCACGCAGGCGGUCUGUCAAGUCGGAUGUGAAAUCCCCGGGCUCAACCUGGGAACUGCAUUCGAAACUGGCAGGCUAGAGUCUUGUAGAGGGGGGUAGAAUUCCAGGUGUAGCGGUGAAAUGCGUAGAGAUCUGGAGGAAUACCGGUGGCGAAGGCGGCCCCCUGGACAAAGACUGACGCUCAGGUGCGAAAGCGUGGGGAGCAAACAGGAUUAGAUACCCUGGUAGUCCACGCCGUAAACGAUGUCGAUUUGGAGGUUGUGCCCUUGAGGCGUGGCUUCCGGAGCUAACGCGUUAAAUCGACCGCCUGGGGAGUACGGCCGCAAGGUUAAAACUCAAAUGAAUUGACGGGGGCCCGCACAAGCGGUGGAGCAUGUGGUUUAAUUCGAUGCAACGCGAAGAACCUUACCUGGUCUUGACAUCCACAGAACUUUCCAGAGAUGGAUUGGUGCCUUCGGGAACUGUGAGACAGGUGCUGCAUGGCUGUCGUCAGCUCGUGUUGUGAAAUGUUGGGUUAAGUCCCGCAACGAGCGCAACCCUUAUCCUUUGUUGCCAGCGGUUCGGCCGGGAACUCAAAGGAGACUGCCAGUGAUAAACUGGAGGAAGGUGGGGAUGACGUCAAGUCAUCAUGGCCCUUACGACCAGGGCUACACACGUGCUACAAUGGCAUAUACAAAGAGAAGCGACCUCGCGAGAGCAAGCGGACCUCAUAAAGUAUGUCGUAGUCCGGAUUGGAGUCUGCAACUCGACUCCAUGAAGUCGGAAUCGCUAGUAAUCGUAGAUCAGAAUGCUACGGUGAAUACGUUCCCGGGCCUUGUACACACCGCCCGUCACACCAUGGGAGUGGGUUGCAAAAGAAGUAGGUAGCUUAACCUUCGGGAGGGCGCUUACCACUUUGUGAUUCAUGACUGGGGUGAAGUCGUAACAAGGUAACCGUAGGGGAACCUGCGGUUG